UACGUAGGGUGCAAGCGUUGUCCGGAAUUAUUGGGCGUAAAGAGCUCGUAGGCGGUUUGUCGCGUCUGGUGUGAAAAUCCAGGGCUUAACCCUGGACCUGCAUCGGGUACGGGCAGACUAGAGUGCGGUAGGGGAGAUCGGAAUUCCUGGUGUAGCGGUGAAAUGCGCAGAUAUCAGGAGGAACACCGGUGGCGAAGGCGGUCUGCUGGGGUGAGGCUGACGCUGAUGCGCGACAGCGUGGGGAGCAAACAGG
rnacentral:rRNA from 1 species